rnacentral:rRNA from 1 species
AACGGUGGAUCUCUUGGCUCGUGCAUCGAUGAAGAACGCACCCAGCUGCGAUAAGUAGUGUGAAUUGCAGAAUUCACUGAAUCAUCGAAUCUUUGAACGCAAAUGGCGCUCUCGGGUUCUCCCGGGAGCA